GUGGAUAGACCCUGAAAGGGGACUCCGGUGCCUUGCGAGCAGGCUGAUCUGAAUCUUUUUGCGGCAUGUACUACCAUUUCUGUGGGUGAUGGUCGAAACACAAGCUUUUGGAAUCAAAGAUGGUUGAAGGGACAAGCCCCCAAGGAGAUUUCUCCUGAUUUGUUCAAGCUGGCCAAAUCUAAGAAGUUGUCUGUUUGUGAAGCUUUGUCCAAUGGCGCUUGAAUGAGAGGGUUGAGGAAUAUAAACACUCGACUAAUGGACUCCUUCAUUAACCUUUGGUCGACUUUGCAAGGAACCUCGUUGCAACCUUGGCCUGACUCAAUUCGCUGGAACUUAAUAGCAAAUGGAGUGUACUCUACAAAAUCGGCCUAUCACUUUCAGUUCCUAACUCGCAUUCCACAGCCUCAUCUUUAGCGAGUUUGGAAUAUCAAAGCAGAGGGGAAGAUCAAUUAA
rnacentral:rRNA from 1 species